rnacentral:rRNA from 1 species
GUCUAUGGCCAUACCACCCUGAACACACCUGAUCUCAGAGGCUAAGCGGGGUCAGACCUGGUUAGUACUUACAUGGGAGACAAUGGCU